rnacentral:rRNA from 1 species
GAUGAACGCUGGCGGCGUGCCUAAUACAUGCAAGUCGAGCGAACAGACGAGGAGCUUGCUCCUCUGACGUUAGCGGCGGACGGGUGAGUAACACGUGGAUAACCUACCUAUAAGACUGGGAUAACUUCGGGAAACCGGAGCUAAUACCGGAUAAUAUAUUGAACCGCAUGGUUCAAUAGUGAAAGACGGUUUUGCUGUCACUUAUAGAUGGAUCCGCGCCGCAUUAGCUAGUUGGUAAGGUAACGGCUUACCAAGGCAACGAUGCGUAGCCGACCUGAGAGGGUGAGCGGCCACACUGGAACUGAGACACGGUCCAGACUCCUACGGGAGGCAGCAGUAGGGAAUCUUCCGCAAUGGGCGAAAGCUUGACGGAGCAACGCCGCGUGAGUGAUGAAGGUCUUCGGAUCGUAAAACUCUGUUAUUAGGGAAGAACAAAUGUGUAAGUAACUAUGCACGUCUUGACGGUACCUAAGCAGAAAGCCACGGCUAACUACGUG